UUUCGAUCCUUCUAAAUCACUUGCUGAAMCCUUAGUAAACCCUCUCCACAUUACGAGGGGGCUGACUGCCCGACUAUAAAUAAAGAUAGUCACCUAGGACAAGCCUAACGGUUAAAAGGUUUAACUAGGAUGCUGGUCAGCUAAUGCUGGCAACACCUUUAGUCUGCGGGGACAUUCGUUGAACGACCUGCAGCCACUGUACCUCUGACAAAAUCUGGGGUAGGUGGCCCACAGACUAAAUCACGGUGGACGCUACAGUACCCUGUGGUGUUUCAGACAUAGUCGCGUCCCUGGGGAUCGUAGUCCCGAGGGUCCCGUAGAACACGUUCCGUAGGUGAACCUGCGGAAGGAUCAUUA
rnacentral:rRNA from 1 species